AUCAACCGAGAUUCCCCCAGUAGCGGCGAGCGAACGGGGAGCAGCCCAGAGUCUGAAUCAGCUUGUGUGUUAGUGGAACGGUCUGGAAAGUCCGACGGUACAGGGUGAUAGUCCCGUACACCAAAAUGCACAGGCUGUGAACUCGAAGAGUAGGGCGGGACACGUGGUAUCCUGUCUGAAUAUGGGGGGACCAUCCUCCAAGGCUAAAUACUCCUGACUGACCGAUAGUGAACCAGUACCGUGAGGGAAAGGCGAAAAGAACCCCGGCGAGGGGAGUGAAAAAGAACCUGAAACCGUGUACGUACAAGCAGUGGGAGCACCUUUAUGGUGUGACUGCGUACCUUUUGUAUAAUGGGUCAGCGACUUAUAUUCUGUAGCAAGGUUAACCGUAUAGGGGAGCCGCAGGGAAACCGAGUCUUAACUGGGCGUUAAGUUGCAGGGUAUAGACCCGAAACCCGGU
rnacentral:rRNA from 1 species